UUGAUCCUGGCUCAGGAUGAACGCUAGCGGCAGGCUUAACACAUGCAAGUCGAGGGGUAUUUAUCUUCGGAUAGAGAGACCGGCGCACGGGUGCGUAACGCGUAUGCAAUCUACCUUUUACAGAGGGAUAGCCCAGAGAAAUUUGGAUUAAUACCUCAUAGUAUAGCAGUUUCGCAUGAAACCACUAUUAAAGUCACAACGGUAAAAGAUGAGCAUGCGUCCCAUUAGCUAGUUGGUAAGGUAACGGCUUACCAAGGCUACGAUGGGUAGGGGUCCUGAGAGGGAGAUCCCCCACACUGGUACUGAGACACGGACCAGACUCCUACGGGAGGCAGCAGUGAGGAAUAUUGGACAAUGGGCGCAAGCCUGAUCCAGCCAUGCCGCGUGCAGGAUGACGGUCCUAUGGAUUGUAAACUGCUUUUAUACGAGAAGAAACACUGCUACGUGUAGCAGCUUGACGGUAUCGUAAGAAUAAGGAUC
rnacentral:rRNA from 1 species